GGGGAAUAUUGCGCAAUGGGGGAAACCCUGACGCAGCGACGCCGUGUGAGGGAAGAAGGCUUUCGGGUCGUAAACCUCUGUCGGGAAGGAAGAACCCCCCAGGUCCGAAUAGGGCCUGGGGCUGACGGUACUUCCAAAGGAAGCACCGGCUAACUCCGUGCCAGCAGCCGCGGUAAUACGGAGGGUGCAAGCGUUAAUCGGAAUCACUGGGCGUAAAGCGCGCGUAGGCGGCUUUUUAAGUCGGACGUGAAAGCCCUCGGCUCAACCGGGGAAUUGCGUUCGAACCUGGGAGGCUUGAGGCCUGGAGAGGGUGGAGGAAUUCCGGGUGUAGGAGUGAAAUCCGUAGAUAUCCGGAGGAAUACAGGUGGCGAAGGCGGCCCCCUGGACGAAGACUGACGCUCAGGCACGACAGCGUGGGGAGCAAACA
rnacentral:rRNA from 1 species